rnacentral:tRNA from 1 species
GCCCUCAUCGUCUAGUGGUUAAGGACAUCUCUUUUUCAAGGAGACAACUGGGAUUCAAAUUCCCAUGAGGGUA